rnacentral:rRNA from 1 species
UACGGAGGGUGCGAGCGUUGUCCGGAAUCACUGGGCGUAAAGGGUGCGUAGGCGGUCGGGUAAGUCUGAUGUGAAAUCUCACAGCUUAACUGUGAAACUGCAUUGGAUACUAUCCGGCUCGAGGAAUGGAGGGGAGACUGGAAUACUUGGUGUAGCAGUGAAAUGCGUAGAUAUCAAGUGGAACACCAGUGGCGAAGGCGAGUCUCUGGACAUUUCCUGACGCUGAGGCACGAAAGCCAGGGGAGCAAACAGG